GUUCCCAGGACCUGCCAAUUCCUGUACAAGCCAGGAAAGUACCAGGCAAACCAGAACAGGAUCCUCGUAGAAAAUGCAUCCCAGUCUCUGAAGAACUGUUACAUCCACUGAGGACGGGGCAGAGCCCUUGGACCACUUCUUCCAAGCCAGCAUCGCCAAACAUGAUAAGGAGGUCUGCUGUACCAGAGGUACUGGUGCAACCCCCCACCCUGUGUUAAAGUUCUUCGGAGCGACAAAAUAUGAUGUGCAUACAUACAGGAAGAGAUUUAUUUCAAGGACUUGGCUCACAUAAUUGCAGAGGCUUGAUGAAGCUGAUGGGCGGGAGGUUCAGAAAAUAAGUUACCAUCUGAGUCGAAGGCAAUCUGCUAUAGAACCAGA
rnacentral:lncRNA from 1 species